GUCAGAGAGUUUUCAAUUAUUUCCACCUCCUCCUGGGGGGGAAGUCCGUCCGCCUUCCAAUGUAUAGAAGCACGAGACUCUUAGGCGUCUUGAGAUACUAUCUGGAUAUCCUUUGUUAAUCGGUGAAUGUCCAAUUAGUUGUAGAUUCAAUGGGGGGGGGACAAAGAAGACCAAUCACUCCGCUAUCUUGGUCCUGCCUAUUAGCACACUCUUAUUGCAACUGUCCUCUUAAUUGGAUUGGUACCCAGUGUAGCUGGUUGCUAGGCUUGGGGUGUACAGUUGUGAUAGGUCUGAGGCCAACAAGGCUGAUGUCAGUUCUCUUACGAGUGCAGCUGAGUAGAGCUAGGCCUUGGCAUGGAGGCACUCAGUUGUUUCAGGCUUUGGAAGGUGGGCUGAUCCUUUUUAUGGCUAUUUGUGAAACACAAGUCUUCUGCCGCUGAUAAGCCUCACCCUCCUCUGGACCACAUACACUGUCAGCACAGUCCUGGUCCAUGCACACUUCUCAACCCCGUGGAGCGUACCCCAACACCACACUGCAGAGGCCUCCACCUCUGCCCCAAUGCCCCCCACAGUUCACCUGGUCCUUACACAAGCCCUGCCCCACAGAGGCAGACACCUUUGCCUGCCUGUAGAGGAUCAAGACACCCAGUCAAUGCAGGCUGAAAAGUAGCCUGAGGGCUUGCUGUUAGGUGGGGCCAGUCCCUAGGGCGGGUUGCCUGCCCUGGCUGAACUGGAUUAAAUCUGUGCUCUAGUGGGUGUGGCAGACCCCCCCGGGCUAACAGCCCAAGGAUCGCACCUCAAUGGCCCCCACCUGUGUCCGUAUCAGCACGCCUGGACCAGCUCAUAACAACGGCCCCCACCAAUGUCUCGGUCUCCCGAGAGGAUCUUCCGCUCACCAAGAUGCCCCCAGAGCCCACCAGUUUUCAAUCCAGGGUGAUUCUUCCUAAAAUUGUUGUAACCUGGUUGUGCUUGUGGGAGGAGGUGAGUUCAACGUCUGCUCACAGCGCCAUCUUGAUGAGAACCUGUUGACACUGUUUUGAUCACACCAGACAGGAUCAAGUGAGGACUAUGGCCUGACGGACAGUGAUGGUUGACUACUUGCCAGGUGCCAUACUGACUCUGAGGAUUGAAGUGUAAAUAAGGCAUAGACCUUGAUGUCAUAGAGCUCAUAAUGUAGCAGAAGAUGUGGACAUGUAAACAUCGAACAAGUGUGGAGGCACCACACAGCACUGUAGGAGAAUAGUAUUGCCUUGAGUGAAAGCUUCACAGAACAAGAGCUCAGUCUUGAAAAAAUCAAUGGGAGUUAUCAGUUAGUAAAGUAAAGGAUGGGCAUUUCUCAGAAGCGGGAUGAUGUGGACAAAAGCAAGACAGUGUUAUGAUGGGUUUGGUAACAGGACAGACAUUUUUGUACUCUGGAAGUGAAAUACAACAAAAUGAAAGAAAUUUGAAAAAAAAACAAAACAAAACCACCUGACAGUCUGUCUUUGACAAUCUCCUCUCCCACUGCCCACAUUCCCCUCCAGUAAGUGCAAAUAUUCGGUGAGAAGCCAGGGUUCAAGGAUCUCUUCCUCCUUCUGAAAAGCUAUGUCAAAUUUUUAUAUUAGAACAAUUCCUGAAAGUUCCUCAUAUUUCAACAAUUACAAUUUACUUACAAUUUGCAGACUUUUUACAAAGUUUAUAUUGUAAAUUAUCACUAAAUUAUCCAUACUAUAGCAAUUUUGCUGGUAGCAUAACAUUUGGUUAGCACUAUAGACUGAGUAUUUGUGUCCUCCCCAAAUUCAUAUGCUGAAACUUAAUCCCCAGUGUGAUGGUAUUUGAAGGAGGGACCUUUGGGAGGUGAUUAAGUUACGAGGGUGUAUCCCUCAUAAAUAGGAUUAGUGCCAUUAUGAAAGAGACCCCAGAGAGAUCCCUCACCCCUUCUGCCAUGUGAGAUUACAGCAAAAAGGAUUUGGUCUAUGAACCAGGAAAGGUGACAUCCCCAGACAUGGAAUCUGCUUGUGCCUUGAUCUUGGACUUCCCAGUCUCCAGAACUGUGAGAGUUAAAUUUCUGUUGUUUAUAAGCCACCUAGUCUGUGGUAUUUUUUUCUAGCAGCCUGAACGGACUAAGACAGGUGGAUAUCUAGGGCCAUAUUGAAAAGAUCUAAGUACUUGUGUCUUUAUUGACUUUUGGUAGGAAACGGUAACUCUGUGAGAUGCAUAGAGCGUUCCUCAACUCUUUACCUAACUCUCACUCAUUCUUUGUGUCUCACCUUAAAUGUGACUUCCCCUGGGAAGCCUUCCCUGACUUGCUAGACUUUUUGUACUCCUAGAUUAUACUGUGUUUUUCAUGUCAUUGUAUGUUUCACACUUCACUGUAAUUCUUCACAUGAUUUUCUCUUGACUCUAAACUAUAAACUCUGAGGGAAAGAGCCAUGUCCUUUUUGCUCUCCUUUGUUUACCCAGAAUCCAGUACCUGCUGUCUAAUGUCAAUUAAAUCCAUCAAGUGAUAAAUCUAAUAAUGAGCCAGGGCCUUCACAAGUAGUUUUUUCUGGAGACCAGUGGCAUAUGAUGGUAUUGGGUUGGCAUAUGAUGGGUCUGGGUUGAUUCCAUAUUUGAAGGAUGUAGAACUUAACAAUAUAGUCCAUUUUCUGAGAACAGAGCUAAAAUAAAACUCUAUGCAAAUAUUAAUUCCAAUGUUUUUAGCAUUGUACUCAAGCUAACUGAGCUAACCGGUCACAGAAAUGUUAGUCGUACCGCUUGGGAAAUGUGACAAGGGAUGCAAGUGGCGACCUUUCAAAAGAAAUUGAAUCAAACAAUAGAAAACAAGUCACAGGCUGUGAUUCUGUCCUGGGAGAAGGAUGAAUUGGCUAACUUAACCUCUACCAGGGCACGAUAUAGUUUCAAGAAAUCUCUAUUAUAAUACAGGACUUUUUAAACUUUAUGAUAUAUCAUCAUCCUAAAACACUAAAAAUGCAGAUGUAAGUAGAGUUGAAUGUUAACGUCCUUCUUCAGCUUCUAACCCAGAAUCCCAAGGUGCUGCGGUUUCCUGAAGUAGCUACUGUGAAUCGUUUGUUGUGCAUCCUUAAAAUUGUUUUAAAUACAUUGGCAUAUGUGGAGGUAGUAAUUUAUAUAUAAUUGUUCUUUUACUCCAUAGGUGGUAUCAUACUAUUUUACUUGUUUUAUGACUUGCUUUCUUCACUUUUCACAAUAUAUUGGAGAUAGUUUCAUAUCACUGGUACAGAUUUAAUGCUUAUAUUUUAAAUAGCUGCUGUGUAUUUUGUAGUAUGCAUGUCUAGAACUUAACCAUUUUCCUAUUAUUCAAUCUUUGGAUUAUUUCAAGUUUUUUUCAGUUGCAGAAAUACUAGAGUAAACAUUUGGAUGUACGUGGAUCUUUGUGUAUAGAAAUAAUGAAUUUCUUUUAGAUAAUAAGAAUUGGAACUCAAGACGGAAAGAUGCACAUUUAAAUUUUGCUGAAAUUAUUACAACAGGGCUUUGAUUUCCAUAGUCCCACCAAUAGAACAUGGCUAUGCAUUUUUCCCUAUACUUCAUCAAUAUGAAUUUUAUGUUUUUUAUUGCUUUUCCUUUGAAUGGCUUAUUUGUAACCUUUGCUCAUUUUUUCUGUUUGGUUUUCUUAUUGAUUGAAUGAAUCCUUCAUAUAUUCUGGAUAUUAAUUGUUUGUUAUAUGUGUUGUAAAUAUUUUCUCUUAAUCUAUACCCUUAGAUUCAUCAUAUAAAUUCUCCUUGGUCUUGUUUACUUAAUGUGUAUUGAAGUCAAAUAGUUAAUAUCUUACUUAGGAUUUUUCUUUCAGUAUUCAUAAGCAAUGUUAGUCUGCAAUUUUCUUUUUUGUGCUAUCUUUGUUAGAUUUAAAUGUCAACAUUGUACUUGCUACAUAAAAAUGGUUGGAAAGUUUUCUCUUUUUCCAUGAUCCAAAUAAAUUUCUCUAGCAGUUGAAAU
ensembl:lncRNA